GGCCCGACAGAGUUUGAUCAUGGCUCAGAACGAACGCUGGCGGCAUGCCUAAUACAUGCAAGUCGAACGCGUCUAGCAAUAGACGAGUGGCGGACGGGUGAGUAACGCGUGGGAACCUGCCCUUGAGUGCGGGAUAACCGAGGGAAACUUCGGCUAAUACCGCAUGCGCCCCGAGCAAUCGGGGGAAAGAUUUAUCGCUCGAGGAGGGGCCCGCGUCGGAUUAGCUAGUUGGUGGGGUAAAGGCCUACCAAGGCGAUGAUCCGUAGCUGGUCUGAGAGGAUGAUCAGCCACACUGGGACUGAGACACGGCCCAGACUCCUACGGGAGGCAGCAGUAGGGAAUAUUGGACAAUGGGGGCAACCCUGAUCCAGCAAUGCCGCGUGAGUGAUGAAGGCCUUAGGGUUGUAAAGCUCUUUCGCGCGCGACGAUGAUGACGGUAGCGCGAGAAGAAGCCCCGGCUAACUUCGUGCCAGCAGCCGCGGUAAUAACCUAAAUAGC
rnacentral:rRNA from 1 species